rnacentral:rRNA from 1 species
GACGAACCGUCCAAACGUUACUCGGAAUUACUGGGCUUAAAGGGUGCGUAGGCUGCGCAGAAAGUUGGGUGUGAAAUCCCUCGGCUCAACCGGGGAAUUGCAUCCAAAACUACUGUGCUCGAGGGAGACAGAGGUAAGCGGAACUCAAGGUGGAGCGGUGAAAUGCGUUGAUAUCUUGAGGAACACCGGUGGCGAAAGCGGCUUACUGGGUCUCCUCUGACGCUGAGGCACGAAAGCUAAGGUAGCAAACGGG